rnacentral:lncRNA from 1 species
GCAAAGUUUAGAAUACACUCGACUGCACUGUGCUCCUGCCCCAACUCAGGCUUCCAAUAGCAGCUCAUUGGACUGACUCUGAAUUUCCUGAAAGAAGACUCGGGCUCCCUUUGAUAUAUGCCUUUUCUAAAAGGGAGAGUUCUCUGUCAAAUCAUACUGGGAACCUGAAACAUGAUCACUCGUCUUCAGUGGGUUCUGGAUGUUUGGACAAGUGCUCAAGCUCCGUUUUCAACUCUCAACAAGGUGUCAAUAGGUAGGUCUACACCUGCUAUAAGCAAAUUCAAUUAAAAGUCCCA